rnacentral:rRNA from 1 species
UACGUAGGGCGCGAGCGUUGUCCGGAAUUAUUGGGCGUAAAGAGCUCGUAGGCGGUGUGUCGCGUCGGCCGUGAAAACCUGCAGCUUAACUGUGGGCGUGCGGUCGAUACGGGCAUCACUGGAGUUCGGCAGGGGAGACUGGAAUUCCUGGUGUAGCGGUGAAAUGCGCAGAUAUCAGGAGGAACACCGGUGGCGAAGGCGGGUCUCUGGGCAGUAACUGACGCUGAGGAGCGAAAGCGUGGGGAGCGAACAGG